rnacentral:lncRNA from 1 species
GCAGAAUGUGUAGUUCUUUGGUCCUAUACGGUGUUCACACUUGGGACAACUUAAUAUGUCUUUAGUAAGCAAUUAUCUUUCAGCUCCACGUCAAACGGUACAGCACCUUUUCAAGACUCGAGUCGAACCGCUCAGCGGCUCAACCUUCUUUUGCGAGUUAUUCAUCUUUUUGUUUGCUCCAUUCCGUUAUCUUGCUUCGAAAUCACGGCACAGACUGAAGCUACCCUCAACAGAAGGUGCCACCCGAUAUUUUAUGCAAUCAAUAUACAUGUAUAUAGUAGUAGGCAAGAUGAUAUUGGGCAAUGGUUGAAGAAUUGAAGUUGAGAAGGAAUACAUCGAAAAAAGUGUAACCUGCGCCUGAGUGACUUGUUGAAACGUUCAUAACGUCUGCAUUCUUUUCGCCCUGACUGAACCACAUGGCAAGGCCGAGGAACCACUAUUGUGAAGGCUAUAGCUCUUCAUUAAUGUUUUUCUGCAUACACCAAUGUAAUAGUAAAUAGACCCAUCAAAUAUGUCUCCAUGUCCGCAGUUACCUGUAUUUAGUGUCUAUUUAAUAUCUUCGCACCAAUAGAAGGCCACUAUUAAAAGGAUCAUAGAGAUAGAGAGGGCGAAUUUAUAUCCUUAUUUUUCAGGUUUUUCUGAUAUUUUCUUUUAUGACUUAUUGUCGAUAUGAAUGUAGAGGACGGGGAAUAAUUAAGACCCAGAUAAUCACGACUGUGCGCUAAGCGUUGUGUUUGAUGCCAGUACGGUUUAUGCUGUGACAUAUUUUGAUUUUAUAAUAAAUACACAAAGCAGGCUGUAGAAGUUUGCAAUGGCCCCAUUAGCAGAUGCGUUACAGACCAUGCUCUUUCAGCAGGUGUUACUCUGCGUAUAAUUGAAAUAAUUACCAGCGCAGAGGAUGGCGUCGAUGCGUCAGAUUCAUGCAUAACUCUAUCCAAAGCUCCAUUAGUUUUUGUUUUUCAUUAAAACAUCGCCUGUUCAGAUCUACGUAACUAUCUUUCUACAGAUAUAAGCUGGUCACCCAUUUGAUCUUGACCCACCCCUCUGCAGUGUUUACGAUAACUGCGCGCAGAGACACAAUUAGACAAGAAGCCUUGAAGGUUCGCGCAAAUGAGCGAAUCGAAACUCAGAUAUAUAUACGUACGUACAUAUUAGAAGGAUAUAAUAAAAACUAUCUCAAGGCACAACAAAGCACACAAAUCGAAAACUCAUCGAUUCGAGAAUACUACAGGGGGAAUUAUCUACAGAAAUUUGCCAAGCCACAAAGAUCGUACACGUGUAACAAACGAUACAAACCAUUUCAAGUCGUUUGGUGCUACUUCGCUAAGUGGCUUAGGUUGAUGCGUUCUGUUACGGCUCUUCAACUGCUGUUGUUGACAAUAAUAAGAAAAAAAACCGCAAAUAAAGGUAACGAGCCUUGUUGCAGGGCGCUUUUACUGAUAGGCCUUUUAUGUACAAGGUGUAGCUCUAGCAACGCUUUUUUGUAGUGUGCUGGAGCUGUAAGUAGACCGUUAUUAUCUUACGGAUAAGGCAAUCCAGGGGGUUGAGGCAACGGAUUGGAGAAAUAGAUGUGAUGUCAUGCUGUGAUGUUUAUUAUUGGCAGCAAUAGCAGCGAGAACAACGGCAAGGCAUCUCAAGCCACG